rnacentral:rRNA from 1 species
UACGUAGGUGGCAAGCGUUGUCCGGAAUUAUUGGGCGCAAAGCGCGCGCAGGUGGUUUCUUAAGUCUGAUGUGAAAGCCCACGGCUCAACCGUGGAGGGUCAUUGGAAACUGGGGAACUUGAGUGCAGGAGAGAAGAGUGGAAUUCCACGUGUAGCGGUGAAAUGCGUAGAGAUGUGGAGGAACACCAGUGGCGAAGGCGACUCUUUGGCCUGUAACUGACACUGAGGCGCGAAAGCGUGGGGAGCAAACAGG